rnacentral:rRNA from 1 species
GACGAACGCUGGCGGCGUGCUUAACACAUGCAAGUCGAACGGAAAGGCCCUGCUUUGGUGGGGUGCUCGAGUGGCGAACGGGGGAGUAACACGUGAGUAACCUGCCCUUGACUUUGGGAUAACUUCAGGAAACUGGGUCUAAUACCGGAUAGGAGCUCCUGCUGCAGGGUGGGGGUGGGAAAGUUUCGGCGGUUGGGGAUGGAAUCGCGGCUCAUCAGCUUGUUGGUGUGGUAGUGGCUUACCAAGGCCUUGAAGCGUAGCCUGCCUGCGAGGGUGACCGGCCACGCUGGGCCUGAGCUACGGCCCAGACCACUACCCGACGCAGCGGUGCAGUAUGUUGCACUGUGGGCUGAGGCCUGAUGCAGCCCCGCCGCGCGCGGGAUGACGGCCUUCGGGUUGUAUUCCGCUUUCGCCUGUGACGAAGCGUGAGUGACGGUAAUGGGUGAAGAAGCUCCGGCUAACUACGUG